UGUAUCGUAAUCUGUAUCUAAUCUGCUCAGCAUGCAGCGCGCUCUGUGUUCAUGGCACGAUACGCCCCCAUGUGAUAAGGGCGUUACCCGCCUGUUCACAACGUGUAUAAAACCAGUGCUGAAUAAACGCUGGGGCUCACUUUUGCCCAGCAAGUGACACACGACGUGUCGUCGUCUGCUCCACUCGAUGCAUGGUGUCAGAAGUGGUUAGCAUGGCAAUGCACUUCCUGCACGACGCGUGAAGACCAGCGAUCCUGUGGCGGAAAAUGGAUUUCCUCAAAGCACCGGAGCCGCUCCUUACAACAGGCGACCUGCGCAAGAACUGGCAGCUCUUCAAACAAAGGAAAACAGCUUCUACUGGCGGACAUGCUGUCCAGGGCUUCCGUUAAGGGCGCAGCAGAUAACGCAGACAACAACAACGACGACGUCGAAGUGCACGCAGUAAGUGUGGUUGAUUCUCUUGUCAGCGAAACCACGUGGAAAGAACUGGCUUCCGAGACACGAAAGGACACGCAGCUCGCCGCUGUGCUAAAGCACCUGGAGAACGGGCAACCAAUUGAAGGACCGUUCAAGCCUUUUGCCGCUGAGCUAUCGGAAGUAAAAGGGGUUCUCUUGAAAGGCUGUAAGAUUGUCAUUCCGGCCAGUAUGAGGCGCGAUAUGUUGACAAGAAUUCAUCAAGGCCACAUGGGAAUUAACAAGUGCAAAGAAAGGGCACGGCGCCUGGUGUUCUGGCCAGGAAUGAACACUGAUAUCGAGACGUUUGCACAGGCAUGUUCUGUAUGUAAAACGUACGCUUACAAGUUGCCGCAAGAGCCUUUGAUUAUGCGUCCGGUUCCAGACCAGCCAUGGUACCGCGUCGGCAUGGACAUUUUUAGCCACGCAGGUCGGUCCUACUUGUGUGUUUAUGAUGCCCUAUCGAAUUUUCCCGAAGUCCAACAGCUCGUAGACACUUCAGCAAAAACUACUGUAGAUGCAGCAAGUGCCAUAUUUUCCAGAUAUGGCAUACCUGUAGAGGUAUGCACUGAUAACGGGCCUCAGUUUUCCAGUAGAGAAUUUGCCAUGUUCUCAAAAGUGUACGAUUUCAAACACGUGACCUCAAGCCCGUAUUUUCCCCGCUCCAACGGACUCGCCGAAAAGGGGGUACAAGUAGUCAAGAGAAUCUUGAAGAAAACAACUGAAGCUAAACAAGACUUUUGGCUUGGUCUUCUCGCUUACAGGUCAACUCCACUGCAAUGCGGCUGGUCACCAGCCGAAAUAUUACAGGGACGCUCGCUGCGAACAACUCUACCAGCCGUUCAGGUCGGACAAAGCCGGUGGGUUGACAAACGCCAGCAAAAAGACUACUCAAGAGGGCCACUCGCACCGCUCAACAACGGCGAAACGGUCAGAAUAAAAGACAGCUCAUCAUGGAGAAGAAAGGCUCGGGUUCUUCAGUCGUCUGGUCAACCAAGGUCAUACGUUGUCAUGACUGAAGACGGGCAACUCUUGCGACGCAACCGCGAGCAUCUGCUGCCAACCAGAGAAUCUUUUCGCCUUAGCGGUCCUCCUCACGACGACGAAGGUGUUUUUCAAGAAUACGCUGCCCCUGCCAGCACACACGACCCAGAGGCGGCGCAAAACCCAAACAGCACAGCGAGCAUUGUGCCGACAGUUCCGCAACAAGCAGCUGCUCCAAGGACUACAAGACAACGCAGACCACCUCGGCGCUUAAUGUAUGACGCGAACUUUCAACAAGUGCCGUGACUGUAUUCAGUGCUCUGAUCUUUGCUGUAGUUUUGGAUGUGCAGUGAUUCUUUAACUUUCUUUUUGUUCUCGAGCUAAAAGCGCUCCUUGUCCUUAGUUUUUUUUUUUCGUUACGAAGGGGGAUGUAUCGUAAUCUGUAUCUAAUCUGCUCAGCAUGCAGCGCGCUCUGUGUUCAUGGCACGAUACGCCCCCAUGUGAUAAGGGCGUUACCCGCCUGUUCACAACGUGUAUAAAACCAGUGCUGAAUAAACGCUGGGGCUCACUUUUGCCCAGCAAGUGACA